AUUGAACGCUGGCGGAAUGCUUUACACAUGCAAGUCGAACGGUAGAGGGGGCAACCCCUCGAGAGUGGCGAACGGGUGAGUAAUAUAUCGGAACGUGCCCAGUCAUGGGGGAUAACGUAGCGAAAGUUACGCUAAUACCGCAUACGAUCUAAGGAUGAACGCGGGGGAUCGCAAGACCUCGCGCGAUUGGAGCGGCCGAUAUCAGAUUAGGUAGUUGGUGGGGUAAAGGCUCACCAAGCCAACGAUCUGUAGCUGGUCUGAGAGGACGACCAGCCACACUGGAACUGAGACACGGUCCAGACUCCUACGGGAGGCAGCAGUGGGGAAUUUUGGACAAUGGACGCAAGUCUGAUCCAGCCAUUCCGCGUGCAGGAUGAAGGCCCUCGGGUUGUAAACUGCUUUUGUAGGGAACGAAAAGGUCUCUCUUAAUACGGGGGGCUCAUGACGGUACCGUAAGAAUAAGCACCGGCUAACUACGUGCCAGCCGCCGCCGUAA
rnacentral:rRNA from 1 species